UACGUAGGGUGCGAGCGUUGUCCGGAAUUAUUGGGCGUAAAGGGCUCGUAGGCGGUUUGUCGCGUCGGGAGUGAAAACCCAGGGCUUAACCCUGGGCUGGCUUCCGAUACGGGCAGACUAGAGGUAUGCAGGGGAGAACGGAAUUCCUGGUGUAGCGGUGAAAUGCGUAGAUAUCGAGAGGAACACCUGCGGCGAAGGCGGGUUGCUGGGCUGAUGACUGACGCUGAGGCGCGAAAGCCAGGGGAGCGAACGGG
rnacentral:rRNA from 1 species